rnacentral:rRNA from 1 species
UUUUUGGAGAGUUUGAUCCUGGCUCAGGAUGAACGCUGGCGGCGUGCCUAAUACAUGCAAGUCGAGCGGAUCUUAGGGAGCUUGCUCCCUAAGAUUAGCGGCGGACGGGUGAGUAACACGUGGGCAACCUGCCUAUAAGACUGGGAUAACUUCGGGAAACCGGAGCUAAUACCGGAUAAUAAAUAGAACCACAUGGUUCUAUUUUAAAAGAUGGUUUCGGCUAUCACUUAUAGAUGGGCCCGCGGCGCAUUAGCUAGUUGGUGAGGUAACGGCUCACCAAGGCGACGAUGCGUAGCCGACCUGAGAGGGUGA